GGAAGGAUCAUUACCGGAUGUAAUAUCCAAACCUUUGGGGUUCGCUUGCCUGAAUCAUGCGGUGGGCGCUCUGCGCAAUUCCGUGGCUUGUUGAACCUAACAGUGCAUUUGCACUGGUUACUCCCUGUGCGGCAACUGUGAGGCCAAGUUUAUCUCAGGGGUAAUCGGUGCUCUUGUGCUAGUUGUUAACGGGUUUCUCUUCGGGUACCUACGCUAUGCACCCUCACAGACCAGCCCGGCUGUGUGAGUGGGGUGUAUAGCAGAAGGUUAGCCAGGCAAGAUCACGGCUAACUGUAGGUUUAAAGAGCUAGGCAUGGAGGUUUCGGAAGUUACCUCUGGGAGUCGACGCGUUGGUCUGGCGCCUACAGCAACGCACCUGUGCCGCUUCUUUGCACAGUUCGACCGCUCACACCGACGCAGCUCAGCGUCUGUCUAGCCGCCCGGAACACUUUUAAACUUCUAAGAUAUAAUCCAAAUCAUACUAUUCUAAGCGGUGGAUCACUUGGCUCGUGGGUCGAUGAAGAACGCAGCCAACUGCGUGAAUUAAUGUGAAUUGCAGACACAUUGAACAUUGACAUUUUGAACGCAUAUUGCGGAAGUGGGUUUUUCCCGCUUCCACAUCUGUCUGAGGGUGACAUACAUAUAAGCUUUGCGCGCUCUGUGAUCGGUGAGUUUCCAUCGAUUAUGGUGCUUUGGCGUGCAGGUUUGACUCGCUGCAGCUUCGGCUGUACCGGGUUUAAGAUCGAGCUGGCGGUUGCUUCUUCUUACCGCUAUCGUCUAAUUUGCGCUGCUGGUUUGCUCGUUGCAAUCCAACCUGCUGUUGCUGCUUCCUACGGCGGUUGAGUUGUAGCUGAAAUGGGCUGUACCACGCGUACUGUUUCACCUCAGAUCAGGUGUGACUACCCGCUGAAUUUAAGCAUAUUAUUAAGCGGAGGAAAAGAAACUAACAAGGACUCCCCUAGUAAUGGCGAAUGAACGGGGAAGAGCCCAGCACCGAAUCCCGCAGUGUUUCACUGUCGGGAACUGUGGUGUUUAGGCAAGCCUUUCCGGCAUUUCGAGGCAGUCAAAGUCCCCUUGAGGGGGGCCAUGGCCCAUAGCGGGUGCAAGGCCCAUACGACGUCUCUUGUGUCGGUUGGAGCUGCCGUGGAGUCGGGUUGCUUGAGAGUGCAGCCCAAAGUGGGUGGUAAACCCCAUCUAAGGCUACAUAUAACCACGAGACCGAUAGCAAACAAGUACCGUGAGGGAAAGUUGCAAAGAACUUUGAAGAGAGAGUUCAAAGGGCGUGAAACCGCUUAGAAGUAAACGGGUGGAGCUGCCAUUACGUCUACUGGAUUCAGCUUGUCGGUAGCAGACUGCUUUCUCUUGAUCGCAAGACAGGAGUGUGGUUCUGGUUUGUUGCCGGCGGGUGCAUUUUCGGUAGAAGUGCGCCACGACCAACUGGAACGUCAGCUAAAGGCCGGAGUGAUUGCCGUCUGUGAGCUUGCUUGCAGUGCCCCGUCCUCCGAGUCGGCUAGAUUGGUCCGGUUGAGUAAACGACCGCACCCGCUGUCACAGGUUGUCUGGUUUGGGGUCGCCGAAUGCCUAGCUGUGCACGCACGGCUGGGUGUACCCUGGUUUCAAAGCCGGAUAAUGCUGAGAUGGUGCAUAUGGUCAGUGGCGUCCGUGUCAGCCAACCACCCGACCCGUCUUGAAACACGGACCAAGGAGUCUAACAUGUGCGCAAGUCAUUGGGUUGCAAAACCUAAAGGCGUAAUAAAAGUGAAGGUUAGCUUCCGCUAGCUUAGGUGGGAUUCUUGGCUUGUCCGAGACGCACCACCGUCCCAUCGCAUCUGCUUGCCAGAGCGGUGGAGAAAGAGCGUACACGUUGGGACCCGAAAGAUGGUGAACUAUGCCUGAGCAGGAUGAAGCCAGAGGAAACUCUGGUGGAGGUCCGUAGCGGUUCUGACGUGCAAAUCGAUCGUCAGACUUGGGUAUAGGGGCGAAAGACUAAUCGAACCAUCUAGUAGCUGGUUCCCUC
rnacentral:misc_RNA from 1 species